rnacentral:piRNA from 1 species
UAAGACGUUUGUCAACUGUCUUUGAGCUA